UACGUAGGGUGCGAGCGUUAAUCGGAAUUACUGGGCGUAAAGCGUGCGCAGGCGGUUUUGUAAGCCAGAUGUGAAAUCCCCGGGCUUAACCUGGGAAUGGCAUUUGGGACUGCAAGGCUGGAGUGUGGCAGAGGAGACUGGAAUUCCCUGUGUAGCGGUGAAAUGCGUAGAGAUGGGGGAGAACACUCGUGGCGAAGGCGGCCAGCUAGACCAGUUCUGACACUGAGGCGCGACAGCGUGGGGAGCAAACAGG
rnacentral:rRNA from 1 species